CAUCUCUGUUAGGGUAUCUCUGUUAGGGCAUCUCUGUUAGAUAGCAUCUCUGUUAGAUAGCAUCUCUGUUAGGGCAUCUCUGUUAGAUAGCAUCUCUGUUAGGGUAUCUCUGUUAGGGUAUCUCUGUUAGGGUAUCUCUGUUAGGGUAUCUCUGUUAGAUAGCAUCUAUGUUAGAUAGCAUCUCUGUUAGAUAGCAUCUCUGUUAGAUAGCAUCUCUGUUAGGGCACAGUUAGUGUGCGUCCCAAAUGGCACCCUAUUCCCUACUUUUGACCAUGGGCACUGGUCAAAAGUAGUGCACUAUAUACGGUAUAGGGUGCCAUUUGGGAUGCACUUUUGUUAGGGCACAGUUAGAUCAGAGAUAGCCUCCUGCAGGCUUUUGUUCCAGCCCUGCUCUAACACACCUGAUUCAAGAUAAUCAAGGUCUUGGGGACCAGCUGGUUAGUAGAGUCUGGUGUGUAGGUGCAGGGCUGGAAUAAAAUCAUGCGGGAGAGUAUCUCUCCAGGAGAAGAGUAUCUCUCCAGGAGGAAGGUAUCUCUCCAGGAGGAGGGUAUCUCUCCAGGAGGAGGGAAUCUCUCCAGGAGGAAGGAAUCUCUC